UACGGAGGGUGCAAGCGUUAUCCGGAUUUACUGGGUUUAAAGGGUGCGUAGGUGGGUCUGUAAGUCAGUGGUGAAAUCUCCGGGCUUAACCCGGAAACUGCCAUUGAUACUAUCUUUCUUGAAUACCGUGGAGGUCAGCGGAAUAUGUCAUGUAGCGGUGAAAUGCUUAGAUAUGACAUAGAACACCAAUUGCGAAGGCAGCUGGCUACACGAAUAUUGACACUGAUGCACGAAAGCGUGGGGAUCAAACAGG
rnacentral:rRNA from 1 species